ensembl:snRNA U1 U1 spliceosomal RNA
AUACUUACCUGGCAGGGAAGAUAUGAUGAUCACGAAGAUGGUUUUUGCAGGGCAAGGCUGCUCCACUGCAGUCUGGGACCUGCUGACCCCUGCGAUUUCCCCAUAUGCAGAAAGCUCUGACUGCAUAAUUUGUGUUGGUGAAUGAAGGGUUGCCGUGCAUGCUUUCC